rnacentral:rRNA from 1 species
CAGCAGCCACGGUAAUACGUAGGUGGCAAGCGUUGUCCGGAAUUAUUGGGCGUAAAGGGCUCGCAGGCGGUUUCUUAAGUCUGAUGUGAAAGCCCCCGGCUCAACCGGGGAGGGUCAUUGGAAACUGGGAAACUUGAGUGCAGAAGAGGAGAAUGGAAUUCCACGUGUAGCGGUGAAAUGCGUAGAGAUGUGGAGGAACACCAGUGGCGAAGGCGACUCUCUGGUCUGUAACUGACGCUGAGGAGCGAAAGCGUGGGGAGCGAACAGGAUUAGAGACCCGAGUAGUCCCUGUCUCUUAUAC